CAGUAGCCGCGGUAAUACAGAGGGUGCAAGCGUUAAUCGGAAUUACUGGGCGUAAAGCGUGCGUAGGCGGCUUUUUAAGUCGGAUGUGAAAUCCCCGGGCUCAACCUGGGAAUGGCAAUGGAUACUGGCAAGCUAGAGUAUGGGAGAGGAUGGUAGAAUUCCAGGUGUAGCGGUGAAAUGCGUAGAGAUCGGGAGGAACACCAAUGGCGAAGGCAGCCAUCUGGGCCAACACUGACGCUGAGGUACGAAAGCGUGGGGAGCAAACAGGAUUAGAUACCCGAGUAGUCCCUGUCUCUUAUAC
rnacentral:rRNA from 1 species